rnacentral:rRNA from 1 species
UACGGGGGGGGCAAGCGUUGUUCGGAAUUACUGGGCGUAAAGGGCUCGUAGGCGGCCAACUAAGUCAGACGUGAAAUCCCUCGGCUUAACCGGGGAACUGCGUCUGAUACUGGAUGGCUUGAGUUCGGGAGAGGGAUGCGGAAUUCCAGGUGUAGCGGUGAAAUGCGUAGAUAUCUGGAGGAACACCGGUGGCGAAGGCGGUUCUCUGGGCAUUACCUGACGCUGAGGAGCGAAAGUGUGGGGAGCGAACAGG